rnacentral:rRNA from 1 species
UACGUAGGGUGCGAGCGUUGUCCGGAAUUAUUGGGCGUAAAGAGCUCGUAGGCGGUCUGUUGCGUCCGCUGUGAAAACUCGGGGCUUAACCCCGAGCCUGCAGUGGAUACGGGCAGACUAGAGUGAGAGGGGAGAAUGGAAUUCCCGGUGUAGCGGUGAAAUGCGCAGAUAUCAGGAGGAACACCGAUUGCGAAGGCAGCUCGCUGGGACGUUACUGACGCUGAGACGCGAAAGCGUGGGGAGCAAACAGG